ACGGCCGUACCAUGGUGAAUAUACCGGUUCUCGUUAGAUCACCGAAGUCAAGCAUCAUUGGGCGCGGUCAGUACUUGGGUGGGUGACCACCUGGGAACACCGCGUGCCGUU
rnacentral:rRNA from 1 species